UGCACACAUAGAUGAUGUAUGAAAUUAUUAUUUCAUAUUUUUCUAGUGUUUGCAUUGCAAGUGACAUCUGGCUGACAGGAACUUGGAGAAAUGGGAUACGAAGUGAAUGCUGCAGUUACCACGAGCAUCAUAUUUAUCAAAAGGUUUAAGCCCUGACAGGGAAAACCAGAAGAAGAGGAGUGAUGAGUAUCCACUGCUCUUUUAUUCACAAUGAAAACCUCUUUAGAAUUCCUGUUCUACCCUCGCUUCUGGGAGUAGUUAUGAGCCAUCUCUGCAGGAUCUGAAGGAUGAUAGAACCAAAACUUUUCCCUUUAAACAGGUCUUACUUCAAUAGUUUAAAAUUUUGCGUCCCACCCAACCCACUGCUGCAGAGUCAACCUGGAAGAACUGAAAGGCUCUUCAAGAUGGCGGACCAGAGGGAGGCAGCAUUCUGUGUUGCUCUGUGAUUCAGAUCUCACCGAGUUGGAAUACUGCAUCUCUGAGAGUGUUGAGGACCUCUAUAUAGCUGCUCUCCACAGAAAUCAUCAGCACUGUGAUCCCACACAGGCCUCAGUGGUCCAGUAGGACGCCUGGCAUUCAAGCAG